UAUAUGAAACUACUGGGCAGAUUUUUCUUAUAGUGCGUCGAAAUUUUACAAAUCUGAGAUACUAUAAGAUUUACUCGAGAUUUCUUUGUAUAAGAUCAGUUGUGUGAAAACUGGUGAACAAAAAAUAUGAAUUCCUCGUAUUUUGAGGUUUCAUACAGCAAGCAAGCUUUAGGAAUAAAUAAAACAUUGCCAAUAAAUGGUAUUCUAUAAGUAUUGUGGUUUUCAGCCAGUCUUUCUCCAAGUGCUAGAAAUGCAGUUGUUGCAAUACACUUUUUUUUUUCUUGACAUGGAAAUUUAAGUGUACUGGAGAAAAACCGUGUCAAAUACCGAAAAAUGAAAGCAGGAAGAAUAGCAGGGAAAGCGUUCGGAGCUUCGAAAUUAAGGGAAGGUUUUCCUUACUAAACAUACAGCUCCCAAGGACACCCAUCCACUUGUACUAGUCUUGAGAGUAUUUAAAACUGGAUUUUCUCACGGAACGAUAGACUCAAAGGAUUUGGCUUAGCUGUAUUUUAUCCUAGCCUCGCACCAAGAUAUAGCGUCAUCAGUGUAACUUUGUGAAGGGACAGAUAACUAAAGUUUGUGUCCUGUUUGUCAUUUCCUCAAUUGUUUUUAUUUUUUCAUCAUCUGAAGUUUAAUUGGAUUUAUCCACUACGCCCGAUUUUGAAACAAACAACGUGUUUUACGCGUUAUUUUAAUAUAUCUUUAUCUCAAACACAUAUAAUAUAGUACGAAAGGUUUCGACUUUCCGUUUCGUUACUGUUCUCGUAAAUUCAGCAAAAGGAAGAGAAAAGUAUGUGGUACAACAAUAAGCAUCUCGAAUAACGUGAGAACCAUUUGAAAUAGAAUCUAAACUAAAAGUUUGGUAAACACGGCGAGGAGUCUGUGAAUCUUGGCUGUAAAUGAGUUAUUCAGUAGGUAUGGAAUAGCGGUGAGUAGUUUGUGAUUUUUUUUAAAGAUGUGGUUCAAUUUUAGUUGCCACUUUUUUGAAAAUUGAAAUAGAAAACGCCCUGCAUCUGUAUCACAAUUGAUAAGGAUAGCACCAAAAGAAAGUUAAAUGUUCCCUGUCACGGGGAAACGUUUAAACAUCUGAAAAGAGAAUCCCACAGUUGGAAGAAACGCUAACGCAGCUUAUUACUUUACUUAGUUCGCAGUGUCGACAAUAGAUGGGGUUUGUACGAAUCGUCCAAUGAAAAAGUUGUACACAUUAGCGAGUGAUCUUUGUGAAACAUAAGUUACAAAGAAUGUAUAAUGUUAGAAAAAGUGAAGACAUUUACAAUAGAGUACCUUAGCUGCUCUCUAUUGAGACACCAGAGGACAGAUGGAAACUCUAGGUUUAGAAAUUGUAUGUUGUUGUUACUUUCUUAGCGCAAAGUUACAUAAUGAGUUAUCUGCGCUCUGUCCACCGCGGAAAUCGAAUCCCGAACUAUUGCGUUGUAGGUCCGUAAACUUACCGGUUGUUGGAGAUACGUAAGGGUUAACAUACAUGGACAUACCAUGGAAGUUUUGGAUAGAUGUAAAGACUUAGAACAACUGAGGCGCUAAACGAGAAGAAUUCAUGAUGAUGAUGAGUUAACUUUGAUGUAUGUAAGUUACUCAUCUGUAAAGUGUUUAAAAUAUUUAACUCCAAAAUUUUCGGCGCUAACAUUACGGAAAAUAUCGCAUAAAAAUUAGAAUUGUGAAGACUCUUUUGGGUUUCUCUAGGUUAAGUAUAGAUUACGAAUUUUGUGGGUUUCUUCAAGUUAAGUAUAGAUUACGAAUUUUGUGGGUUUCUUCAAGUUAAGUGUAAGUGACUUGUGACGAGGUUUUCCAACCAAGUUUUUUGUUCUUUUAUUCGUAUAGUUUUUGUUUGUCUCUGUGCUAUGUAUUUCUACGAAUGACUAUUUUCAAUAGUUGUACAAACACAAGCCGAAUAAGAACAAACAUCAAUUUAUUUACAAAUCACAUAAUACAUACAAGCAGUCAGGAGAAAGUUAUUCUAACACUGGGCACCAAUCUUCAGCUCUUAUAUAGGGUCGGGUAGGAUUCUGAAUCUUACAUAACGUAAUAUAUAUCUAUUCUUCAGGUUACAUUUCAUUGGCCGACGUUUACAAUGUGUCACGUCCUAUAUAUCAAUGAAGUGAUUUGAUGACCACUCAUCUCGAUUUAAUUCUUCUUUCCCUGUUUUAAAUUUUAUCAUUUCCAAUUAUUUUCGGAUAUUUAAAGUUGUAAUAUUAUGAGGUUGAGCUAAAAUUAUAGUUUGUCCCAGAUAAUUGUGUUUUGUUUUUUUUCAUGGUCUGCUAUAGCUGAAUUUUCUGUUUUAUAGUUUCUUACGUAGCCCUUAUUAUGUUCCUCUAAUCUGUACGUCCUUUAAAUUUGACUAUUAUAAGUACUACCACAUUCACAUUUUAUUUUAUAUACCCCAGUAUUAUCUUAUAACUGUAUUAUAUAUUUGAUAUUCAUUAACAAUUCUUGAAUCUUAUUCAUAGGUUUAAAGAUGGAAUUAAAGUUUUUGUUGUUUCUUAAAAUUUGAACUUUAGAUAAUUGACCUGUCAGUCCUGAAAUAUAAGGUGAACUUAGUCUCUUUUGUUUUAGUUUUUUCAUAAACAGAUUUUGGCAAAUUAUUUUUAACUAACAUUAUUGAGGGAAUUUGGAUGUUGUUAAACACAAAGAUACACAAUGGGCUAUAUGUACUCUGCCAAUCACAGGUACCGAAACCUGAAUUUUAGCGUCGUAAGCCUGCAGACUUACAGCUGAACCACUGGGAAGGAGGGGGUAACUAAUGUUGAACUAUUACUAAGUUUAUUAACUGCUCUUUCAACCUCUAUGUACUUAAUUGGUAACAACUGAUUACUUAAAUAUUCCUGUAAAGAACAUAUUUUCAACGCUUAUUGAAUACAAGUAUAAAAUUCAGAAAUCUGUGUUUUAAUAUGACAUGAUGUUUUGGUGUAGCGGCGUGACAACAACAAAAGGUUUUCUAUAAAUUAAUGUUUCUGAA